ACAUUCACAUGAUGUCCAAAUCUGCAAGAGACAAACCAGCAGAACAUCAGCAGGUGAACAAAAGGGUUAAGUGAAUAUGAUUUAAGAGCAGUCAAAUGAAGUAAUAGUGACAUUUGACCACGUACUUGUUGUGACAAUUGCAUCAGGUUUGAGGGAGAAAUGCUCUGUGUGGCCAUUGUGAGUGGCACUUCUGAUCCAGCAGGUGGUGGGUGUUAAGAUCCCUUCCUAUGUGGCUUGAAUGAUGAGCCAGUGUUGGAAAAAUGACUUGUGGUACAGCGGGUGGCGGUGAAAUGUCUCCCUAUCUAUAUGACUUGACCUACUCCUUUGACAUUGUUCACUUGAUUGGAGAUGAUUCCGGUCUUCUUCAUGUCCUCUUCAUGAGCACUUCUGCAUGUCUUCCUUCCUGUCUUGCCAUGUGGGUUCCACGGAGGUGUGUGUUUUUGUUAGAUACCACUGGGCACAUUCCUAACGUGGAGGUCGUUUGCAUAGCUCAUGUUAGUCUACGGACGGUCUGACAUUGCUCGUCCAUAUUUUGAUGUAUUCCAAUUCCAUUUGGGUGUAUUGUGUGGAAUGUUGGAACAUGGUUCGAUCUUACUUGUUAGACUUGACUGUGCUGUUGGAGCUCGUUAACACAAGCAUUUCUGCUAAACAGGUGUAUGUAUAUCUCUCUAGUCACCCCCAAACCCAAUUCUUUCUUUGGCCGCAUCUCCUUCCAGGUCUCUGCUGCCAAUGACUGGAAGGAAGUCCAAAAAUCUCUGAAACUGGAAACACUUAUCUCCCUCACUAGCUUUAAGCACCAACUGUCAGAGCAUCUUACAGAUUACUGCACCUGUACAUAGCCCACCUAUAGUUUAGGCCAAACAACUAGCUCUUUCCCUACUGUAUUUAAUGAAUUUAUUUUGCUCCUAUGCACCCCAUUAUUUUUAUUUCUACUUUGCACAUUUCUUCCAUUGCAAAUGUACAAUUCCAGUGUUUGACUUGCUAUAUUGUAUUUACUUUGCCACCAUGGCCUUUUUUUGCCUUUACCUCCCCUAUCUCACCUCAUUUGCUCACAUCGUAUAUAGAGUUGUUUAUACUGUAUUAUUGACUGUAUGUUUGUUUUACUCCAUGUGUAAGUCUGUGUCGUAGUAUGUGUCGAACUGCUUUGCUUUAUCUUGGCCAGGUCGCAAUUGUAAAUGAGAAGUUGUUCUCAACUUGCCUACCUGGUUAAUUAAAUAAAGGUGAGAAGAUUAAAAAAAGGGAAAAAAAUGUGGCUAUUUGAUUAGGACUUUUCUUCUAUGUGUCGCAACUCCAUUUCCACUUUAUGUCCCCGUUAGGGAGGUGUAAUUUAUGCUGCAGGCUAAUUACAAAAUUGUGGUCCAAGUUCAACUCCUAGCCUAUAGGGUGUGGUAACAGGCCCUCUGUUAUUUGUUGUUGUACUCUGCAUGUGAAGUACUCUGCAUGUGAAGUAUCUGCACUGUAGCCUAUAGAAGAAGUAAGCCCUUGUUAAUAGGGGAACGCAAGCAGUUGAAGGGAACAAGUGACAGAGUCUAACCUGCUGUUGAACACAAACUCCCAGUCCUAUGAUGUUGCUCUGUGAAGAAGCUGCAUCCCAGCAAGUUGAAGGCCGGCAGCCACUAAGUAGAGGAAUGUUUUACAGCGUUUCAGCUUGCAGAGGUAUCACCACCCUUCCCAUGGCCACCUGGAUCCUGUCUAGGGAAGAAAACGAAGAAUGAUGUUAUUACAUGGCCUUCAAGAGCUACAUGACUGCUGAGGUGACAUAUCGGACCCCUUAGGAUUUGUGGCAUU